AAUCUGGGGUCCCCCGACCCCCGAGUUGUAAUUUGGAGAGGCAUCUUCGGGGAGGAGCGCCGGCCCAUGUUCCUUGGAACAGGACGUCGCAGAGGGUGAGAAUCCCGUGCCAGGCCGGCUGCCUCCUCCAGUGUGAAGUUCCUUCGACGAGUCGAGUUGUUUGGGAAUGCAGCUCCAAGUGGGUGGUAAAUUUCAUCUAAAGCUAAAUACCGGCGGGAGACCGAUAGCGCACAAGUAGAGUGAUCGAAAGAUGAAAAGCACUUUGAAAAUAGAGUCAAAAAGUACGUGAAAUUGUUGAAAGGGAAGCGCUUGAGACCAGACUCGGGCCCGGGCAAACAUCGCGCCCCUCGCGGCCGUGCAAUUGCCCGGGGCCGGGCCAGCAUCAGUUGGCGCGGCGGGACAAAGGCGCGGGCAAUGUGGCUCCCCUCGGGGAGUGUUAUUAGGCCCGCGCUCAAUGCCGCCGACGUCGACUGAGGACAGCGCCUCGGCCUGGAUGCUGGCUUAAUGGCCUUCAGCGACCCGUCUUGAAACACGGACCAAGGAGUCUAACAUCUAUGCGAGUGUUCGGGCGUCAAACCCCUGCGCGGAAUGAAAGUGAGCGGAGGUGGGAACCCCCUCGCGGGGCGCACCAUCGACCGAUCCUGAUGUCUUCGGAUGGAUUUGAGUA
rnacentral:rRNA from 1 species